GAUGAACGCUGGCGGCGUGCUUAACACAUGCCAGUCGAACGGUGAACACGGAGCUUGCUCUGUGGGAUCAGUGGCGAACGGGUGAGUAACACGUGAGCAACCUGCCCCUGACUCUGGGAUAAGCGCUGGAAACGGCGUCUAAUACUGGAUAUGUGACGUGACCGCAUGGUCUGCGUUUGGAAAGAUUUUUCGGUUGGGGAUGGGCUCGCGGCCUAUCAGCUUGUUGGUGAGGUAAUGGCUCACCAAGGCGUCGACGGGUAGCCGGCCUGGGAGGGUGACCGGCCAAACUGGGAUUGAGACACGGCCCGAACUCCUACGGGAGGAAGCAGUGGGGAAUAUUGCACAAUGGGCGAAAGCCUGAUGCAGCAACGCCGCGUGAGGGAUGACGGCCUUCGGGUUGUAAACCUUUUUUAGCAGGGAAGAAGCGAAAGUGACGGUACCUGCAGAAAAAGCGCCGGCUAACUACGUG
rnacentral:rRNA from 1 species